rnacentral:rRNA from 1 species
UACGUAGGGUGCAAGCGUUGUCCGGAAUUAUUGGGCGUAAAGGGCUCGUAGGCGGUUUGUCGCGUCGGGAGUGAAAACUCAGGGCUUAACCCUGAGCCUGCUUCCGAUACGGGCAGACUAGAGGUAUGCAGGGGAGAAUGGAAUUCCUGGUGUAGCGGUGAAAUGCGCAGAUAUCAGGAGGAACACCGGUGGCGAAGGCGGUUCUCUGGGCAUUACCUGACGCUGAGGAGCGAAAGUGUGGGGAGGCGAACAGG